AAUAGGAGAAUGAUAAAUUAGAUUUUGCUCUAAUUUUCAGUCUUUUCUUCUUGAAAAAAAUUCAGAUCCAACUAAAAAUACUAAAAAUCAAGAGAAAAAAUCUGAUUUAUCAUUUUUCUAUU
rfam:Gossypium arboreum cultivar AKA8401 contig_12928_9, whole genome shotgun sequence.